ACAAUAACCACGCGUCCUAUGUCUAUAUAGUUAAUUAGUUCAGACCACUGAGCUAUACUUAAUAUAUCUGGAGAUCGUGCUCCAAUACCUCGUCAGUCAAAAAUGUGUGACCAAAAACAUGGCGGCCGAUUUUGGCCAAAUUUACGUCAUUUUGGCGUCACAAUCGACCUAAAUUUAUGGUGAACACCGCUGACCUUAAAUACUAAAGUGAAGAAAAAAGUUAUUCACACCCCC